UUGAGCCGUGUGCUUGGAAACUGGCACGCACGGUUCUUAGGGGGCGUAAGCUACCCGGUUAGGCAUUAAAAAAACUCAACUACUCAAAA
rnacentral:misc_RNA from 1 species